UCGACGAGAAGCCACCUUCGGGUGGUGGACAGUGGCAGACGGGUGAGUAACGCGUGGGAACGUGCCUUUCGGUUCGGUCGAUAACCCAGGGAAACUUGGGCUAAUACCGGAUACGCCCUUCGGGGGAAAGAUUCAUUGCCGAAAGAUCGGCCCGCGUCGGAUCAGCUAGUUGGUAGGGUAAAAGCCUACCAAGGCGACGAUCCGUAGCUGGUCUGAGAGGAUGACCAGCCACACUGGGACUGAGACACGGCCCAGACUCCUACGGGAGGCAGCAGUGGGGAAUAUUGGACAAUGGGCGCAAGCCUGAUCCAGCCAUGCCGCGUGGGUGAAGAAGGCCUUAGGGUUGUAAACCCCUUUCAGCGGGGAAGAUAAUGACGGUACCCGCAGAAGAAGUCCCGGCUAACUCCGUGCCAGCAGCCGCGGUAAUACGGAGGGGACUAGCGUUAUUCGGAAUUACUGGGCGUAAAGCGCACGUAGGCGGAUUUGUAAGUCAGGGGUGAAAUCCCCGAGGCUCAACCUCGGAACUGCCUUUGAUACUGCAAAUCUCGAGUCCGGGAAGAGGUGAGUGGGAAUUCCUAGUGUAGAGGUG
rnacentral:rRNA from 1 species